rnacentral:lncRNA from 1 species
UGAUGGAAGUGACAUAAUGCCACUAAUUGGAUCCACAUCCUGACUCGGGCUCCAAGCCUCUUUAACAUUAUGAUUGUCAAUUCCACGUAGCUAGUUCUAACUUAUAACGCCUAAUGUGAUAGUUUGGUGUGUCAUUAACUUUCCAAUUAAUGAAAGACGGAAACAAAGCAAUAAAGGGCAUUUGAAACGGUAGUUCGCUCCAUCAAACUUGUCAGGUCGGUCGGCAGACGGAGACGGACUCCAUAAGAGAGAGUCAAAACAAGCCCACAACCAGAGAGAGGGAAAAAACGUGGAGAAGUGGGCACGAGACAACCGUAUCAGUUGCUGAUUUAGUGUAGUAUGGAAAAAAGGAUGGGUCUUUUGAAUAAUUCAUGCAACUUUAUUUGGCUGCCUUCUGGAAACGAACAAUUAAGCGUCCUCGCAUUAAGUUCCCUCUGUUUCAAAUUUCGGGUACGCAGUUCAAUUAACAAGCCAGACAUUAACGCAUCCCAAAGGACAAGAGAGGGCCUUGUACAUGCCAACUUAGAACCCACGAGACGAAACAUUUUAAUACCCUAUUCGUACUGCACGAUUCACAUUUUCCCAUUUUUUUUUGUUUGAUAUUUCCAAGAACUAAUUUAAGACCUGUACUAUACAUAGAUGUUCUAUGUCAAGUUGAUUAAUCUCCUAUAAUUUUUAAUAUUAUACUAAAGGAAAAAAAUUUUAUAUAUAUAAAAGAUAGUCUAUUGAUAUUCAAAGUAUGGAAUAAGCCAUGCUUUGAAUAGGUAGGAGGCGACCGUCCAACCCAUCACAUCCAAUUUCACUAGACAAGACCUAUAAUCAUCGUUUACUUUGAAACCCGAAAUGAUCGGGAAAGGGUUAAUGAAGGAGGCCAUGACAGGUGCAUCAUACGACAGGUGAAUGGUCCUAAUUUAAAAAUCGACAAUGUGAAAGAAACAGGGUGAAAAAUAAUAGGCCGCUUUGUCUAUAAUUUCUGUUUCCACUUUCCAGUGGCAACCAUUGCUUGAACACUUUGGGUCCGGCGCUCCAAUCAUUGUACUACUAAAGCUUACUAUUGCUAUACUCAAAUGUAUUCCGAAUAGUUCUCCAGGCCUCUUCCUCUCAAAAGAGAGGGUCUUUGUGGCGCAUUCCACCGUCAACUCAACAGUGAAAUGAGCACACGUCAAUUUCAAAGCCCCAGUUGGGAACUAUGCACUGGUGGAAUUUCCCGCUAGCUCCACUUCAGAUUUCCAUUUUUGGGUUUUUUUUACCAGAAUAAAUUCUGAUGAUCAAUCAUUUGGGCUAAGGACCUAUUGGAUUGCACUGGAAGCAGUGAGGCUCUAUUAGUUUCAAACAUAUACACAUUGAAAAAUGUCAAACGGUCUUUGAUAGAAGGGUAAUUCACGUGGGUGGCGGAUCCACCCUUUGUGAAUAUGUAUUAUAUAUGAAUAAAGUUAUCAGCUCACAAUUGAAGUAGGUGUGAAACUGCCAAAAACUUCUGGCUUGUCAGCUCAUUUGUCCAUCUAUAGGAAAAAGAAAGAAGGAAGAUGUUUUAUCCAUCAAUCGAUUCCAAAAAGUUCCAAUUUUGAUGUGAUAAAUUUCCUAUUAAAAUUAAAUUUCCGGAAUGGAAACGAUUUUGAAUUUCAAAGACACCAUGAUUUUUGACCUCUGGAUAUUCAGAAUCAAACAACUUGCAUGCAUUAUUCCAGUAGCAUGUGUGUAGAUUUUUACCGUCUCACAGACAAUUCCCACCUCAUCCAACGUUACAUAAAACAAACCUAACCUCUGAAAAAGACCCGAGUAGGCUCAGCAAUAAAUCAACUAAAUAAAUUUUUAAAAAAUGAUUCAAAGGAGAAACAAGUAAAAUUCAACAAUUUUGCAACCGAAAAGAUCAAACAAAGGGAUUUAAAAGAAACCUUCAACUUCGCAAAAUUCACAAAAUUCAAAGAAACAGUGUUCAGACCUAAAGCAGAGGGCAAAAAUCUGCAAGAAGUGGAGAAAAAUCAAAAGAAGUUGAUAAGAUCCUGGAAACGACGACGACGACUCAGACAAAAGAGAUCAGAGUAGACGACAUGGCGAGACUUUCAAAUAGCGCCAAUUCAGAGUUAUCCGAAAUCCAUGGAUUUUCCCGAUCUUAGCCAAAACGCUACCCAACCAAAAAGUCAAACAACUAAAACCCAAAAUUCACGAAUCCAAACAUUUCCACGUCUCCAAACAAUCAAAAACACUUUCAUCAAAGAAUUAAAUGCAGAGAUAGAGAUAGAGAAGGAGAAAGUACGUUUUCAGGCUUCCCAAUGAUUGAAGCCACGGCUUUCGUGACGUCGGAGAAGAUUGGAUCGGCGUCGACGCCUUCUAGGUUCACAUUCGUAGAGAUAUCGACGCAAGGCAUUCCGAGACUGUAGAGAAUCUCCACUCUCCACUCUCCAAAAUAAGUACGAAGCCUAUGAUUUGUAUCGAUUUGCAGGAGCACCGGUGGUGGCUAUCAGGCUAUAUAGCCUUCGUACUUCACCGAGAACCCAUUUUGGAGGUAAACUGGUAAAGACAGCCCCCAGAGCGCAUAUGAUGGUGGUGGUCCCCAUCUACCGGUACCACUCGUGGCAGAUAUUUGAUUUUGGGAUGCUGACUGUAUAUUAUAUUAUUAUAAUUUAUCACGGACACCUCCAACUCUCGUACAAAGAAAAAAAAUAAAACAGACGCGCAUUUUGGUUUCACACUUGUUGCCUCUUUUAGCUGCACUGCGUCAAAAUAUUUUACCCAACCUAAAUCCUAAUCUUCUCUAGAGUUUUUAGAAAAAAAAGAAAUUAAUAAUUUUCCAAAAACAAAUAUUAUUGGCAUAAUAUGGCUUUCCAAAUAAUUGUUAAAAUAUAUUGUAAAAGUUUCUUCCUGGGAGUAUUAUAUUUUGGAUUUAAUUGGACCUUGAAAUUGGCCUUUAAACCGUAUAAGUAGCAUAAUCAAAGAAAAAAAUAUGAAAUUAUAAGAAAUAAAAAUACCCGUGAAGAUGACAUAUUAUAAUUUUUUUUAAAAGGUGGUUGGUUGCAUAUGUGACAAUGACAUGAAAAAUCCACGUUUUAUCCCAACAAUAUUUUAAAUUAAUUAUAAAAAAUUAAGGGAAAAAAAGUUCAAAUUUAUUAAAAAAAAAAAGUGAUUUCAAAUUCUAAAAAAAAUAUUUAUUUAAAAAUAAUAAUUUACUAAAAGAAAAAAUCAAUUUAUUAAAAAGGGAAAUUCAAUUUUAUUAAAAAAAUAUAUUUUUUUCCUUUUCAAUUUUAUUCUAAAAAUGUUUCUUUUCUACUUUUAUAAAAUAAAAAUAAAACACCGAUUUCUCAAUUUUUAUUUUGAAGAGUUUUAUUUUUUUUUUAUUUUGUAAAAAAAAAAAAAGUUUCUGUAUAUGAUUUUCUACUUGGAUUUUGUGCUUUUAUUUUUUUCACAAUCAACAAAGGCUAUUUUAGGAAAUAUUGAAGAUCCAUAUCCUUCUUCUCAAUUUGCAUACUUCCACUAGGUUUUGAGCUUAAAUAGAAAUGUCACUUUUUUGGUCCAAUUAGGUCCAAAACACAAAUUUUCCUAAAAUUUAAUAUUUAUUACUUAAAUUAUCUUUAAGUUAAAUCAUACUUAAGAUGUUGACUUAAAACCUAUUAAUUAAUUUUUACUUUAAGUAUUAGAGUUGUUUGAUAAAAUUAAUUUAAAAUUUAUUUUAUAUCAUCAAAUUGAUAUAUUUAUCCUCAUAAGUUAUAAUUAGCAUAAAAAAAAUUAUAAAGAUAAUUAUGACAAAUAAGGAUAAAAAGAUAAAAUAAAAAUAUAAACUUAAAAAUAAAUUAAUUAUUUUUACUUAUACUUUGAAUAAGUUUCUUCAACUUGAAUUUGAUUAAAAACCGGAAAUAUAUUUGCACCAUCACCAUCUUUAAAUAAAAUAUUUUGUACCAUAGCACUAUGAAUAGUGCAUAUUAGAGCGCAUGGAGCCAUCUCUUUAUUUUUUUUAUAAGAAACAAUAUGGUGGACUAAUUGAUAUUUAUAUUUCUACGGGUUAAUGAAAGAGCCCAAUGCAAAAUAUAUAUAUAUAUAUAUAUAUAAUGUUGUUUUUAAUUUUAAAUUAUAUUAUUAAAUUAUUUCACUAAACAUAUUUUUAUUUAAUAACUUAAAUUAAAUUAUUAAGUUAUUAAGAUGAUUUACUAAACACCUAUUUAUAAAAUCAACAUUGUGAAUGCUGGCUUUAGCAUAUGAUCUAAAAUGCAGGCUAAUAUUGAUUAUCUAUUUUGAAAAUUAGGGCCGUUACCAACAUUAAUAUUGUUUGGUUGACCUCAAGCAUUUUACUUUGAAACCGCCGAUUCUUUCAAAAGGCAUUACAUUUUUCCAAAAUCUCAUCUUGCCUAUUUUAGCUGCGAUAAUAAUAGGUCACAUGUGUAACACUAAUGAAUGGUCAACAGAUUUUACCUUUAAAUACUCUCAUAUAUUUAAUUGGGAUAAUUAUGAUUUAGGGCUCGUUAAAGUAUUUUUUUGAGGUCCAUAUCUUUUGCAUAAUUAAUGUUCAGGAUAUGAAAUAUGAAAGAUAAAAAUAUUCUUGAAGGAAAUUAUUAAAACUAAAUGUGAUUGUGGGUCUCAUACUUAUUAUUAUUUGACUUUUAUAUAUUUUCCACACAUUAUUUGACUUUUAUAUAUUUUUUUCAUUUUUUUUGAAGGAAAUUAUCAAAACUGAUCAUGAUUGUGGGUCCCAUACUUUUGAUUAUUUGACUUUUAUAUAUUUUUUCAUUUUUUUAUUUUUUUAUUCUCGCUCUUUUACUCUCCCUUUUUUGUUUUCCAAGUAUCACAUUUAUGUCACAUUUUAAAUUUCUUUUCUGAAAAUAUUUUAAUAUUUUUCCACUUCUUUUUUUAUUAAAAGAAAAUUGAAAAAGGAAAGCACAGUGACAUAUUAUAGAUUUUUAGUUAUAUCUCUAUAAUUUAAACAAACAUUUUCUAUAAUUAAAUUUAUUUUUUUGUUUUUUUUUUAUUUUUCUAUUUUAUUUUAUUAUUAAUAAUAUAACAUUUUAAUAACGUUAUUGAAAGUAAUUAAUAAAACUUUUAUUAAAUUUAAUAUUAAUAAUAGUAUUUUUAAAAUAUAAUUAUCAUAUAUUUGAAAGAGAGCAAUAACUGCUUUUUUUUUAAAAGAUUGUUUUGCAUAUAUUUUAGAAUUUUGAUACAAUAUAUAUUCUUAUUAUAUGUAAUAAAAAAUCAUGUUGAAAUCAUUAAAAAUAAUUUAAUAUUUUUAUUUUAAAUUGUAUUUUAAAAAAUAAUUUAAAGUUAUAAUUUAAGAUAAACUUUUCAAAUCAAAAUUUUACUUUAUAGGUGGGUUUAACUUAUUUAUUUUUAUUAUUUUAAAAAAUAAAUCACCAGAGAAUGAGAAACCUAAAAAAAAAAAAAAAGGAUAAAAUAAGAUGAAGUAUCGUAUUCACACACUAUAAAUUCAUUUUAUAUCAUUUUCAUGACCUUUAAAUACUUUUGACAUUACGAGAAAAUCAUACUCUUUAAUUCAAUUAUAAAUGCAUAUUAGCCUUUGAAAUGAAUUUUACAACUUUUGUGGACCUUAGGCUCAUUAUCCAUUUUAUACGCCGCUAAUACGUAGUUGUCUUUAUUUAAUGCGGAUAUGGUUAGAAUUUGGGUACAAAAUUUAAGUCAAGUAGUAGGCAGUAGGUAUUUCUACUUUGGGCUUCUUCCAGAAAGAAUCCAAAGAAAUCAUGGGGCAUAGGAAUCAAACCAAACGUGGUUAUGUGUAAGUCUGAAUUUUAACAUUCCGCAUAUUUCACAUUGUACUUAGAAAGCAAAAUCAACUUUAUUUGAAUUAUUAAAACAACUUUUUUAGUCAUACUUUUGUAAUUUUUUUUAUAUUAAUUUCAUCUUAAUAUAAAUAAAAAAUAAAAAAAUAUUAUAAAAUAUUAUUAUAUUACUUUUUUCUAUUUAAUUAAAAAUAACAUCUUGAUAUCAACUAUUAAUAAUAAGUUCAUUUUAUUUAUAUUAAUUGAUAUCAAUAUUUUACGAAAAAAAAAAGUAAAAUAUUUUGAUUUUUUCUAUUUAGUUGAAAAACAAAUACUAUCAAAUAAUAUUUUGAAUGGUAAAAAAAAAGUUAUAAAGAAAAAUAAGGUAAAAAUUAUUUUUAUUUGAUUUUUUGUUUGGCUAUUACAUGUCAUCUUGACUAAGGGAUUUUCUUUCAAGUUUUCUCAUAAUAAAAUUUAAUUAAUUUAUUAAUUAUUAAUUUUGAUUAAUCAUGUGUCAAUUUUUAUAUUUUAAAUAAAAAAUAAUAAUAAUUUUUAUAUAAAAUAAUCGCAUUUUUUAAAAACCUGCAUCCAAUGUAAUGAUCUUAAGAUUUAAUUGCAAAACGAAAGGGUAAAAUAAAUUUUACUUCUUAAAUUUUAAAAACUCUCAUUUUAAAAAAAAAUGUAAAUAAUCGCUAUGAAAUAUUUAUUAUUAACAAUUAAAAAUAUGUUUUAUACUAAAAGUUAAAAAUAAAAAUAAAAAUAAAAAUGAAUCAUAAUAUGAUAUAUGAGGAGGAGGAAUCAAAAUACUCUCUUGCUUACUCCAUCUAUUUGAACACGUGCUAAGUGGAGUCUCUCCUGUGUUCUUUUCUCUUUUUGGCUUUCUCAAUGCUAACACAAUAAAACUACCGUUGUCAUUCAUUCAUAUGAGAAAUGCUGGCAUGCUGCAAUGGACAGCAGCCUAACUCCAUUGUCAUUCAUAUUCAAUGGCCUCCACCUAACUUAUGGAAGAUGUUCAAUAACAAACAUGUGGUCAAGGACAGAGAUUUCUUCCACUGCUUAUGCCUUACUUCAUGGAUCAUAUUUCUUCCCUAUUUUUGGAUUACUCUCAGAGAAAAAAAACAUCAAUUUUCAAUACAAUAUUCUUUGAUAAUUUUCAUAUGAAUCAUGUGAGGAAACAUUCUAUUUUUUGUUUGGUUCUAUUCCACUCCGACCAUGUUUGAUACGUGGAAAUAAAGACUGAGAAUGAAUAUCUUUUUUUUCCUUAUUCAUUCUCAUGUUUAGAUAAUUUAAGUGAGGAUGAAAAUAUAAUAAAAAAUUAUUCAAUUGAGAAUGAAAUCUUCAGGUAAGUGGGAUUUCAAUUCAUCUAUGAUAAAAAGUAUUUUAAUUUUUAAAAUAACUUUAAAAAAAAACCAAAAACUUAUUUGAUGAGUUAUUUUUAAAAAUAAAAAAAUAGAUUUUAUUUUUUUAAAAGAUUAUAAAUUUAAUUUAUAUAAUAUAAAUUAAAUUUAAUUCAAGUUUUACUAAAAAUAAAAAUAAUUUUAUAAUUACAAAUGAAAUAAAGAUAAAUAAUUUUUAAUAAAAUAGGAAUAAUAAUAUUAUGAUAAAAUCAUAAUUUUUAUAAAUAUUAUAAAAAUAUGAAUAUUAAUAUCCUCACAAACACAUAUUUGAUUAACAAAAUAAUUGAAAUAUGAAUCACGAUGAUCUUUAAAAACUAAAUUUUCUAACAUCUUUAAGGAAAUUUGACCAUUAAAUGAUUGAUUCUAAAUCAAAAAUACAUUUCUUGUUAAUCAAAUAUGAAUUUUUUGUUUGGUUCUAUUCCACUCCGACCAUGUUUGAUACGUGGAAAUAAAGACUGAGAAUGAAUGUCUUUUUUUUCCUUAUUCAUUCUCAUCUUUAGAUAAUUUAAGUGAGGAUGAAAAUAUAAUAAAAAAUUAUUCAAUCAAGAAUGAAAUAUUCACGUAAGUGGGAUUUUAAUUCAUAUAUAAUAAAAGGUAUUUUAUUUUUUAAAAUAACUUUUCAAAAAAAAAAAAGCCAAAAACUCAUUUGAUGAGUUAUUUUUAAAAAUAAAAAAUAGAUUUUAAUUUUUUUUUUAAAUAUUAUAAAUUUAAUUUAUAUAAUAUAAAUUUAAUUUAAUUCAAGUUUUACUAAAAAUAAAAAUAAUUUUAUAAUUACAAAUGAAAUAAAGAUAAAUAAUUUUUAAUAAAAUAGGAAUAAUAAUAUUAUGAUAAAAUCAUAAUUUUUAUAAAUAUUAUAAAAAUAUGAAUAUUAAUAUCCUCACAAACACAUAUUGAUUAACUAAAUGAUUGAAAUAUGAAUCACGAUGAUCUUUAAAAACUAAAUUUUCUAACAUUUUAAAGGAAAUUUGACCACUAAAUGAUUAAUUCUAAAUAAAAAAUACAUUUCUUGUUAAACAGUUUACUAUUCUAUUUGUUUCCUAUAAAUAUGACAACAAUCAUAAAUAUUUAGAUCAUGAAAUAACUUCUAAAUAUUAUUCAUUAAUAAUAUGAUAGAACUAGAAAUAUUACUUUUUUUAUUAUAACAAUUUAUAACUAUUUUCGAGUCAUCCUCGAUGUUUAAGAAUACAUUGUUCUUGACAGUUAGAAAUAUGAAUAUUAAGAUCCUCAUGAAAUUUAUUUUGUUAUUGUAGAACGAUAUAUUUGAAAAAAUGAGAGCCCGAGAGCAUCCGCCUUUCAAGACCCUCACAUGAAGUCCAUUUAAAAUGCCAUAAAUUUAAAAAUGAAAAAGGGUAGAACACUAGAAGUCUAGAAGCCGAAGUUAACGGACCCUGACAUGGAAAAAUAGAGAAGGGGGUCGGUGGUGGAAGAAAUUAUAGCCAGAAUGGAAAAAAAAAAGUUGUCCCUUUUGCCAAAGGGUGUAUGGGGCAUCAAUCAAAAUCUCGCGAACUUCUCCAUUCAGAAUUGAUGUGAUGAAAGGCUGUCCUUGUAUAUAUCUUUACCACAUCAUCCUUUUCAUGGAGUCACAAAGUCGGAUAUUUUGGACUAGUGGGUUUGGUAUGUACAACUUUUCGCCAUUCAUAAGGUCUGAAUUUUCAUCGUAUUAGGCCUAGAGUGGUCACUUGAUGUAAGGCCUGCGUUAUCUCAAAAUCUUCGUUCACAUUGUCAUUUAUAUUCUUGAAAGCUUUGUUGCAACCAUCCCUUUAUUCUUCUGACAUCGCAGGGUCAUUAAUCAAGAGCCAGUCCAUUUAUUUCCCCCGAUGAGACCUUUUUUUCAAAGUGAUUCUCCUAAAGUCCUCGCGUGAAGUUCAUGAGUUUCUGCAGAGAAGCAGACAAAGAGGCAUAAUCCUUCAACUAGUGUCAGAAAGUGACAGCCAAUUGGACCAAUAUCUACAUCAAAGAAAGCAACAUUUGAAGAAGAGAAGGAUUGAAGUAAAGUUUGAUGACAAACAAUCUUGUUUUGGUGGAAGAAGCAAUCACAGAAGACGUGCUGGCUUUGAGGUUACCUUUAUCCAGACAAACUCCCUUCUUGUUGAACAAAAACAUACAAAAAGAUCAGAAUGACAUUGGCAAAUGGCAAUGGCAGCAUAUUGGUUCAAACGCCCCUCAACAACAAAAGGACAAGGACUAUAGAACAAAGCAAAAACCCAUGAUAGAUCACAAAAAGAAAAGAAUUAGGCCAUAGAGCAAGGAAAACCAGAAGCAAUAUAAGAGAAAAGCUUGCAGCCAUUCAGAAAUUACACCAGCAAUGAACACCAAUAAAAUGAAAAGCAAAGCAGGUCAACCCAUACAUCCCCCCAUAAGUGGCUGAGACAUUACUUUCACGAAUCAAACUUCCAAGUUCUUGCAUUAUAUAGAUCAUAAGCAUUCUCUGGCUCCCCAGUUGUGUACAGGAUUACUUUCUUUAUCAAGCAACAUGUAGGUUUAAUUAUGCUUUCCUUGGGGUGUUCUGGCAACAACAAUUCUGUUUCUUAAAUAUUCCAAGUUGCUUAAGGUUGUUGCCAUUUUGUGACCAUUAAAGAAAGGGACUGAGGGAAGGAACCACUAAAAGAUUGACAUAAACAUGCUCAAUGGAAGUGGUCAUUCCAAGUACUCAAGCAAUAAACUACAUUUAUAAAGCAAUUGAAGAAGGGGUUAAACCCUAAGAUGGAGACUUUGUCAGCAGAAAAUCAAUUGGGUUCAUCUUAUAUUUUGCAGCUCUAGCGGAAAGAGACACCGUUGACAUAACAACAGAGUAAUAGAAAAAUGUUUUAAUAAUGGAAACAAUUGUUGUUUCAAACCAGAUAGUCGGUUCCAUGUCAGUAUUUUUUAUUAAAUGGUUUGAUGCUUCGAACUUGUAUAUCUCACUAGAACUUUUCCUAUUUUAUGGGAUGUUUGAAUCCAUUUGUAUAAGUUUAAAUUUCUUUUUUAAGUCUAAGGGUGUUUAAUAAAACUUAAUAUUUAUUAUUUAAUGAUUUAAGUUGAGUUUAUAUUAAAUUAUAUUUAAAUUAUUGAGUUAAAACUUAUUAUUUAAUUUUUAUUUAAAUUUUAAUGUUAUUCGAUAAAAUUAACUUAAAACAUAUUCUAAAUCAUCAAAUUAAUAUUUUUAUCCUUAUAAAUUAUAAGUAGGACAAAAAAGGUUGAAUAAUAGUGGAGAUAAAGGAAUAGUAAAUAAAAUCGUAAAGAUAAUUAAGACAAAUAAGGUUUAAAAAGUAAAAUGAAGAUAUAAAUUUAAAAAUAAGCUAAUUGUUUUUACUUGUUAUUUAAAUUUAUUUUUUACUUUAAGUCACACAAUUAAGUUAAUUAAAAUAACAUACUUAAUUUAUUUAAUGACUUAAAUUAAGUUAUUAAAUCACUUUAAGUUAUUAAGUUACUUUGUUGAACACCCAUUAGAAAAAGAACUUAACAAUGCAAGACUUACAAAAAUAUUGCCUUUUAUGGAGUUAUGUAUUUAUAAAUGGAAGAUGAACUUAUAAAUGAAGAUAAUAUAAAACUUAUAAUAAGGAUGAUAUUAAUAACAUAUUUAUAUAUAAUAAAAGAUUUUAAUUUUAGCAUAAAUUAAUUUAAUAUCAUAUUUUUAAUUAUUAUAGAAAUUGAUCAAUUUUUGCUUUAUAUUUAAUUUCUGUUUUUCUUUUUUCAUAUAUUAAAUGUCAUAAAAUUAAAGGUAAAAUAAAACUAUCAUUAUUGUUAUAUAUAUAUAUAUAUUUAUAUUAAUUUUUACAUAAAAAAUUAUCAUUAUAUUUUAAAACAUAUAUAAAUUGAUAAUAAUAAAGUGAGAUUUUGGCUCGAACUUGGGUUGAUAAAGCCUUAAUGACUCAAUCCAAGCCCAACCCAAGGUUAGAUUAAAUUUUCUCAAUUCAUGAUUAAGUUUUCAUAACUUAAAGUUUAGGUUGAGUUGGAUUAGGUUCAAUCCAUCCAUAUUGUGGCCUUAAUUUUAUAACAUGAAAAAUAGAUGACCAAAGCCAUUAAAACCUAAUAGAAAAUGAGUAAUUCCUUAAUAAUGAUAUUGAUAUACUUAUUAUCAUUUUUAAAUAUUUGGGCUAAGAGUAAAAAAUAAUCUCCAUUUUGCAAAUUUAACCUACACUUCAUGAAUAUUUACCUUCAUUGAACAUCAAUAUUUUUUCUUUCAAAAAAUGUUUUCAAAUGUGAUGAGUAUAAAAAAUUAUAUGCUAUUUUAAAAAUUAAAAAAAAAUAAAAUCAAGAGUUAGGGCUUGUUUGGUAACAAUUUUCAAAAAUGGUUUUCUAUUCUCCAAAACAGAAAAAAAAAAAAAAAAAAUCGUUUGACAAUUAAAAAAUAUAAAACAAUUUUUGUUCUUAAAAAAAAAUGAUGUUUUUAAAGAAUAUGUUGUUUUAGUUGUUUUAUCUUGUUUUCUGAAUAUUUUUUUUAAAAUUAAUUAUACAAAUAUGAAAAAUGAUUAAAAAUAAAAUACUACUUAUAAGAGUUAUUUUUAAAAGAUAUUUAAAUAUGUAGAAAAUAGGUUAAAAAUAUUUUAAGUUCCUAAACAGACAUUUGUUUUACAAAACAUCAUAAAAUACUUUAUGAAUUUGUUCUAAAAACUAUUUUUCAAAAUUGUUUUAAAAAACAAUUACCAAAUAAAACCUUAUUUUCAAUUAUUAUUUCUUCCUUUUCAAUAAAACAUCCACAUUUUUUUAACUUUUUGGAAUAAUUUUUAACUUUUAUUUUUUAGUACGAAAACUAUUUUUUGCGUUAUUAAUAUUAUGUAUGAGUUGAUAUUUUAAAUUUUAUUUAUUUAUUAUACAUGAGUUAACAUGAUAAUUUUAAAUUUUAGUGUAGAAAAACCCAUUUAUAACAUUGAGCAUAAAUUUCUUUAAUUUUUCAAGAUGUAAAUAAAUCUAACUUCAUAAUUUUUUCUAAACGUCAUUAAUUAAAAACUCUCUCAAAUAAGAUUUUAGUACUUUAAGAGGUAGCUUACAUCUAGACUGUCAAUCAAUACAUGUUUGAAACUUAAUCUUUAACUAUUAAUUUUAAAUUAUCGUACACUUAAAAAAUGAAAGUAUAUUACCUUAUCAUAGCAUAAAAAAUGAAGGGGGAAUUAUAUAAACAUACAGUAUUUACAAGAUCUUGGUGAAAAGAAAACCCAAAAAAGUCAUUUUCAUGGGGAGUGCAUUUUGAAGAAAACAAUUCUCAUUUCAUGCAUUGAAAUAAUAUCUACCUCACAUUACCUAGAAAUGUUCUUAUAUGUGUAUAUGGGUUGUCAUCCAUACCAACCCAAUCCACAUGAGGAUGAUGCAUCAUUCAACUAACAAAUGUGCUUUAAGCUCAAAACAAUACUACUUUAAAACCAAAAUGAUAGGCCACGACGAUCUGAGAGGGGCCAUAAACCAAAUCCCAAAUAUUUGGGAUGAGUGGGAACGUGAAGAACCGUUGGACUUGGACUGGGUUGUGGCAAUUGAGAGUCCUACGUGCAGAAGGAAAUGGGUCAUCCGUAGUGAGAGUUUUCCGUCAUUUUAUUUCCGUUUCUUAUGCUCGUUUGUACGUGGCUUUGCUUAUUUAAAGCAACCAAUGCUUUCGUUAAAGGAGAGUAUUUUUCUUUGCAAUCAAAUUGUGGUUCGUUUCUCACCCGAAGAGAAAACAAAGUAUCUUAGCCUUAUACUCUGAGUUUGGGACCUAUCAUUUGGUAUCAGAGCCUUUCUUAUGGGAACCAACAAGGAGCGAAUUGAGCACUUGGAGACUGGACUCGGUGUAGUUCAGGAAGAACUAUAGCGAAUGGAGUUGGGUAUGAUCGACAAACUCCACCAUCUGGAGGAAGCUCUCAAUCGACUUUCAAACGUGUUGCUUGCUAAUCCGGAGUCCUCAAAUCAAGGCAAUUCCCACCGAGAAAACCAAAAUGGAGGUCGGCAGAUCGUCUCGUCCAAAUCAACCAAGCUAGAAUUUCCACGCUUCUUUGGAGACGAUCCAACGGAGUGGUUCAAUCGGGUGGAACAAUUCUUUGACUACCAGAGUACUGCAGAAAAUCAAAAGGUUCCCAUGGCUGCUUACCACCUUGAAGGGGAGGCCAACCAAUGGUGGCAGUGGCUUCACAGGACGUUAAAGGAAGAAGGACACGUGAUUUCCUGGGAGAAAUUCGAAGAGGAAUUAUGGGCUCGCUUCGGACCAUCAGGAUGCGAAGACUUUGAUGAAGCUCUCUCAAGGAUCAAGCAACUGGGAACUUUGAGGGACUACCAGCGCAAGUUUGAAAAGCUCGGCAACAGGGUCCAAGGAUGGACUCAGAAAGCAUUGGUGGGGACAUUCAUGGGUGGCUUGAAAGCUGAAAUAGCGGAUGAGAUUAGGAUGUUUAAGCCACAGUCGCUCAAAGAGGUCAUUAACUUGGCACGGAUGAGGGACGAUCAAAUCGCACGGCAAAGAAGGUUCAUGCGGUCACCACCUGUGAGAGCUCCGAUAGCUCUUCCACAAGCCACUCGUGUAGAUCCUGCUAUACCUGCGAAACCUAUUAAACGUUUGUCUUGGGAAGAAAUGCAGAGGAAAAGAGCACAAGGUCUCUGUUUCAACUGCAAUGAACGUUUUACAGCAGGCCAUAGAUGUCAAAAACCGCAGCUCUUACUCUUGGAGGGGCAUGAGGAUAACGUGUAUUGUGGGGACGGUACUGAUCAACAAACAUUGGAAGAUGACCACGGUGGAGAGGCAGCAGAGGUGCAGGAACAUGAACCUAAACUAGAGAUCACCUUGCACGCACUAACAGGAUGGACAACACCGAAAACCAUGCGGGUAACAGCGAAAAUGGGUUCCCAUGAAGUAAUGGUUUUGAUUGACAGCGGAUCGACACACAACUUCAUCAGCAACCGUUUGGCAAACAAGCUCAGGUUGCCAGUCAUACCUACGGAGACAUUCCCUGUCCGGGUGGCCAACAGAGAAAGACUAAAGUGUCAGGGGCGUUACGAUAAGGUACGGGUAGAAUUACAAGGUACCGAAUUCUACCUCACCCUUUUCUCUCUGCCCUUAUCAGGUCUUGAUCUUGUCCUCGGCGUUCAAUGGCUUGAAAUGCUGGGAUCUGUGGUUUGUAACUGGAAACAGUUGACCAUGGAUUUUAUUUGGGAAAAUCAAGACCGAAGGCUGCAAGGAGUGGACGUGCAAACCAUUCAGGCUGCUUCAUCAGAAGAAAUAUUGAAGGAGUUUCGCUAAAGGCAUGCGCUAUUUGCUGUGUGUUUCCAACCAACCAUGGAAACUGCACCAACUGAUGCACCAACUAAAGUUACCCAGAAAAGUAGGUAGAGGUUGUUGAAAAAGUAUGAGGACGUGUUCCAAGAGCCCUUAAGUUUACCACCUGCACGUGAAGUGGAUCAUUGUAUUACGCUAAAGGAGGGAACCG